UUUGUCUCUAACAUGUUUUGGAUUCCCAGAUCACAUUCCAGGUCAAACGUGUAAAGAAACCCAAAGGGGAUCAUAAAAAACCUCCUGGGAAAAAAGUAGAGGCAAGUCAGGCAGAGAAUGGACAACGUUACCAAGCAAACCUGGAGAUCACUGGCCCAAAGGUGGCAUCCCCUGGGCCCCAAGGGCUUCUAGACUGGAAGACCAGGGAAGUGCCAUAGACAUAAUAUAACUGGACCUCAGCAAGGCAUUUAACAUCCUCUUAUGAUAUCCUUGUGACCAAGAUGGAGAGAUGUGGGCUCGAAGUUUCCCACUGCCUACAGGAAAAAGUGCAGACUUCCUAGUGUGCCAUUCAAGACCCUUUAUAAAGCAGCCUCUCUCCACUCUCCACCACCACCCAGGAAGCAGCCAUGCUCUGAUUUUACCCAUGCCUUGGCAUAUGCUGUUCCCUCUGCCUGGAAUGCCCUUAGACCACCUCUGCGGUGCUAAUAUCACUCACCCUUAAACUUGAAACUCAAGUGCCAUUUCUCCUUUGCUGCCUUCAGACAGAAGUAGUUGUUCCUUCCUUUGUACAACUCUUGGGUUCCUCCUUGAACACUCUGCUGUGACAGUGUACCAGUUUCCUUAUGUUUGCCUUCCUCACUAGCCUGUGAGCUGCAGAGCAGGCUGCCUCUUCAUGUGUGUACACAGUUCCCAGACCCUUAUAAUAGGUGCUCAAUAAAUAUUUCUCAAGUGAAUUUUUUAAAUAUAAAAAGAAAGUGAUCUUUAUUGUUUAAUGUUUGCGUUAUUCAACGUUAUUUUGAAAUUCUUCCAAGCUGAUCUUUUUUUCUUUAUUAAAAUAUGAAUCUAAAUCCC
rnacentral:lncRNA from 1 species